AACGAACGCUGGCGGCAUGCCUAACACAUGCAAGUCGAGCGAGGACUUCGGUUCUAGCGGCGGACGGGUGAGUAACGCGUGGGAAUGUGCCCUUCUCUACGGAAUAGCCCUUGGAAACUGGGAGUAAUACCGGAUACGCCCUAUGGGGGAAAGAUUUGUCGGAGAAGGAUCAGCCCGCGUUGGAUUAGGUAGUUGGUGGGGUAAUGGCCUACCAAGCCGAUGAUCCAUAGCUGGUUGGAGAGGAUGAUCAGCCACACUGGGACUGAGACACGGCCCAGACUCCUGCGGGAGGCAGCAGUGGGGAAUCUUAGACAAUGGAGGGACUCAUGAUCUAGUCAUGCCGCGUGAGUGAUGAAGGCCUUAGUGUUGUAAAGCUCUUUCAGCUGGGAAGAUAAUGACGGUACCAGAAGAAGAAGCCCCGGCUAACUCCGUG
rnacentral:rRNA from 1 species